GUGUUCGUUGAACCGAGAGAAGGUUAGCAUCUCCCUCGGCAAGGACGAGAUCGCGCUUCGGCGUAGAAACUCUUGUGGUUUAGGCUAUGGCACAUUGUGCCAUCUAACCAAAUUUUUCG
rnacentral:ncRNA from 1 species